AAUAUUGGGCAAUGGGGGAAACCCUGACCCAGCAACGCCGCGUGAAGGAAGAAGGUUUUCGGAUUGUAAACUUCUGUCCUCAGGGACGAAACAAAUGACGGUACCUGAGGAGGAAGCCCCGGCUAACUACGUGCCAGCAGCCGCGGUAAUACGUAGGGGGCAAGCGUUGUCCGGAAUUACUGGGCGUAAAGGGAGCGCAGGCGGUCUUUUAAGUAGGAUGUGAAAUACCCGGGCUUAACCUGGGGGGUGCAUCCUAAACUGGGGGACUUGAGUGUGGGAGAGGAAAGUGGAAUUCCUAGUGUAGCGGUGAAAUGCGUAGAUAUUAGGAGGAACACCAGUGGCGAAGGCGACUUUCUGGACCAUAACUGACGCUGAGGCUCGAAAGCGUGGGGAGCAAAC
rnacentral:rRNA from 1 species